GCUUUCGGGUCGUAAAACUCUGUUGUUAGGGAAGAACAAGUGCUAGUUGAAUAAGCUGGCACCUUGACGGUACCUAACCAGAAAGCCACGGCUAACUACGUGCCAGCAGCCGCGGUAAUACGUAGGUGGCAAGCGUUAUCCGGAAUUAUUGGGCGUAAAGCGCGCGCAGGUGGUUUCUUAAGUCUGAUGUGAAAGCCCACGGCUCAACCGUGGAGGGUCAUUGGAAACUGGGAGACUUGAGUGCAGAAGAGGAAAGUGGAAUUCCAUGUGUAGCGGUGAAAUGCGUAGAGAUAUGGAGGAACACCAGUGGCGAAGGCGACUUUCUGGUCUGUAACUGACACUGAGGCGCGAAAGCGUGGGGAGCAAACAGGAUUAGAUACCCUGGUAGUCCACGCCGUAAACGAUGAGUGCUAAGUGUUAGAGGGUUUCCGCCCUUUAGUGCUGAAGUUAACGCAUUAAGCACUCCGCCUGGGGGAG
rnacentral:rRNA from 2 species